ACAAAAACAUGGCUCCUUGAAUAACAUUAGGAGUCGUGCCUUCCCGGUGAGCUUGCGGGCUUAAACGGACGCGGUAAAGCGUGCUAAGGUAGCUAAAUUAUGGCCUAUUAAUUGUAGGUCCUGUGAAUGGUUUGACGAGUUUCCAACUGUCUCUAGUUUUUUUUGGUGAACUUGAAUUGGAUGUGCAAAUGCUUCCAUGGGUAAGAAAGACGAGAAGACCCCGUGAAGUUAGAAAUUUAAGUCAUUAGUAGGUUUUAAGCUGGUCUGGCUAAAGUGUUGGAAGGCUUAAGGUUUAAGUCUUCUUUGUAAGGUAAGUGAUGGUAGUUUUGGCUGGGGCAGCAAAGGAGCAAGAGUAGACUCCUUUUGAGGAAAUAGCAGUUGUGCUACGACCCACAAAUUUAAAAGUGUGAUUAUCAGAAGAAGUUACUCCGGGGAUAACAGCGUAAUCUGUCUUGACAGUUCUUAUAGAUGGGCGGGUUUGCGACCUCGAUGUUGGCUCUGGAUGUCCUAAGGCUUGUAGGCGGUCUUUAGGGUUGGUUCGUUCGCCCAUAAAAAUCCGACGUGAUCUGAGUUCAAACCGG
rnacentral:rRNA from 1 species